ensembl:miRNA
UGAAUUGGUAUUGCAAAUGACAUGUAUGCAAAUUGGCAUUUGCAUUACCAAUACACA